UCAGAACGAACGCUAGCGGCGUGGAUUAGGUAUGCAAGUCGAACGGGAACUAUAUAACAGAUCCUUCGGGUGAAGACUUAUAGGGAACGUGGCGAAAGGGUGAGUAAUAAAUGGAUAACCUACCCUCCAGAUCGGGAUAAUCCAUCGAAAGGUGGGGUAAUACCGGAUGGUCUGGCAGUCUUAUCAGUCUGUCAGUAAAGGUUGCUUCGGCAUCUGCUGGAGGAGGGGUUCAUUUCCUAUUAGCUUGUUGGUAAGGUAAUGGCUUACCAAGGCAUAGAUGGGUAGGGGGCCUUAGCGGGUGAUCCCCCACACUGGGACUGAGACACUGCCCAGGUUCCUACGGGAGGCUGCAAUCGAGAAUCCUCCGCAAUGGGCGAAAGCCUGACGGGGUGACGCCGCGUGGACGAUGAAGGCCUAUCAGGUUGUAAGUCCUAACAGGGAGUAUGAAAAUCGGCGGGUCCAAUAGGCCCGUUGAUUGACGUCAAUCCCAGAUGAAGUCACGGCUAAAUAUGUGCCAGCAGCCGCGGUAAGACAUAUGUGGCGAGCGUUGUUCGGAAUUACUGGGCUUAAAGCGCGCGUAGGCGGUUCAGUCAGUUAAUUUGUGAAAUCCCCCGGCUUAACCGGGGAAUCGCGGUUAAUACUGCUGAACUCGAGUACAAGAGGGGAGAGUGGAAUUCUGGGUGUAGCGGUGGAAUGCGAAGAUAUCCAGGAGAAGGCCGGUGGCGAAAGCGACUCUCUGGCUUGAUACUGACGCUGAGGUGCGAAAGCGUAGGUAGCGAACGGGAUUAGAUACCCCGGUAGUCUACGCUGUAAAUGAUGGGCACUGGAUGGUGGAGGCGCUGAUAGCUUUCUCCGUCGAAGCAAAUGCGUUAAGUGCCCCGCCUGGGGAGUACGGUCGCAAGAUUAAAACUCAAAGGAAUUGACGGGGGCCCACACAAGCGGUGGAGGAUGCGGCUUAAUUCGAGGACACGCGUAAAACCUUACCGAGGUUUGACAUGUAGGGAUUAAUCCGGUGAAAGCCGGAGGAUUGCCUUACGGUGUAACCUACACAGGUGCUGCAUGGCUGUCGACAGUUCGUGUCGUGAGAUGUUAGGUUAAGUCCUGAAACGAGCGAAACCCCUGUGCUUAAUUGCCAGCGCGUUAUGGCGGGGACAUUAGGCAGACUGCCUCGGCUAACGGGGAGGAAGGUGGGGACGACGUCAAGUCAGCAUGGCCCUUAUACCUCGGGCUGCACGCGUCCUACAAUGGGCAGUACAAACAGGACCGAUCCCGCGAGGGGGAGGAAAUCUCUAAAGCUGCUCUCAGUUCGGAUUGCAGGCUGAAACCCGCCUGCAUGAAGGUGGAAUCGCUAGUAAUCGCCGGUCAGCUAUACGGCGGUGAAUCCGUCCCUGGGCAUUGUACACACCGCCCGUCAAGCCACCCGAGUUGGGCGCACUCGAAGUCCGAGACUCAACCGUUUACGGAGAGAUCGGCCGAAGGU
rnacentral:rRNA from 1 species